AGGAGGAGGAGGAGGAGGACGAAGAGGAAGACGAAGAGUGGAAAUAUCUGAUGAAAUUCGAGCAACAGUUAUAGAUCAUGUUAUUGUCCAUGGACUGACAAUGAGGGAAGCAGGACUUGGAGUGCAACCCAAUUUGAGCUGAUUUUCUGUGUCCACCAUAGUAAGGACAUUCAGAGAAGAGAACAGAAUUGCAAGGCUGCCACAUGCAGAAACGAGUGAUACAAGACAACACACACUUCCAGGGAAUCGACAGUGAGCAUUUCCACUAUUGACUGUGUCCUCCAUCGUAACAGGAUGCGAAUGAAACGAGUAUACAGAGUACCUUUUGAGCGCAACUCACCAAGGGGGAAAGAACUGUGAGCUCAGUAUGUGCAAGUUCAGAUGUGACGCUCUUGCAGUCCCCAUUGGAGGAUGAUAUGGCUACGAUAGUAACUCUGGAGAGGACAAACGAAGUGGGGACCAUGAAGUGUCUCAUCUGAAUCAUCAACUCAGCCAGAAGCCAUGAAUCUUCUAUCAGCCUGUCAAGUCAAAGAUGAGUGUUGGAUGUGUGAGGUAAGACACAUUUUCUUUUUAUUUGCCAUGUGUAAUGAAUACUGUAACAAAUCAGAUAUUUUUAUGAUCACAAACUGCUCUCCCAACAAGAGUACACUUUUUUUGAGCCAUUGGUCAUGUUGGCUGUCCUUGGACACGAUCGCUGCUCUCAGACAUAGUCGCUGUCCUCGGACCUGAUGACCAGGGUUUGAGUGCUGACGUUGCCAUAUAGCCCCUCUGAAUUGCUGUUAGACUGCCACAUGCAGUGGCUCAUUUGGAUGUGUUUGAUGUCUUGAAGCUUGACUUCCCUACGUUUCUCCUACAACUGGGCCUGGAGCUCGUUUAAAGAUUCUAGCAGGGGAGUGCAGCUACACGUCUACUAAUGGGGAAGUAUGGAGCGAUGAGGGAGAAAGGGAACGCCUGCCCAGCCAGCCUAAUCAACUCAAUAAAUGGUGUGACAUGUUGCAGCCAGAUUGCCCUCACAUUUUAAUCUGACGCUGAAUCUGUCCGCCAACUGCUCUUCAAAGAGAGUCAAUGUUUUUUCUGGCCAGCGGUUACAGUUGCUGCACUCGAUCAUGGUGACAGGGAUUCACGUACCGGCAACAACAUUAGCAUUUAACCCCUCGUAAUGUGUUUUUUUUUUUGUUGACAUUUUUUACUCUUUUACAACAAGGGUGUGUGCAUGUCUUGAAUGGGCUGCCUUUUUCACUGUAUUCCUUUUCUUGGAAGAGGAAGCAUGUUCAAAGUUUUUCUAUUUAUUUUUACGGAGUGACUUAGGUUAGCACUGUCUACUAUAUUUUAAGCGUACAGCCUGAGGUUUCAGUAUUGCUUUUGUUGUUCAGUCAGAAUAGACUUUUCCCACAUUUUGUUAAGUUACAGCCUUAUUCUAAAAUU